rnacentral:tRNA from 1 species
GUGGGCAGAGCUCAGUGGCAGAGAACAUGCUCAGCAUGCAUGAGGUCCUGGGUUCAAACCCCAGUACCUCCA